CCGGCGCACGGGUGAGUAACACGUAUCCAACCUGCCGUCUACUCUUGGCCAGCCUUCUGAAAGGAAGAUUAAUCCAGGAUGGCAUCAUGAGUUCACAUGUCCGCAUGAUUAAAGGUAUUUUCCGGUAGACGAUGGGGAUGCGUUCCAUUAGAUAGUAGGCGGGGUAACGGCCCACCUAGUCAACGAUGGAUAGGGGUUCUGAGGGGAAGGUCCCCUACAUUGGAACUGAGACACGGUCCAA
rnacentral:rRNA from 1 species